rnacentral:rRNA from 1 species
AUGAACGCUGGCGGCGUGCCUAAUACAUGCAAGUCGAGCGAACGGACGAGAAGCUUGCUUCUCUGAUGUUAGCGGCGGACGGGUGAGUAACACGUGGAUAACCUACCUAUAAGACUGGGAUAACUUCGGGAAACCGGAGCUAAUACCGGAUAAUAUUUUGAACCGCAUGGUUCAAAAGUGAAAGACGGUCUUGCUGUCACUUAUAGAUGGAUCCGCGCUGCAUUAGCUAGUUGGUAAGGUAACGGCUUACCAAGGCUACGAUGCAUAGCCGACCUGAGAGGGUGAUCGGCCACACUGGAACUGAGACACGGUCCAGACUCCUACGGGAGGCAGCAGUAGGGAAUCUUCCGCAAAGGGCGAAAGCCUGACGGAGCAACGCCGCGUGAGUGAUGAAGGUCUUCGGAUCGUAAAACUCUGUUAUUAGGGAAGAACAUAUGUGUAAGUAACUGUGCACAUCUUGACGGUACCUAAUCAGAAAGCCACGGCUAACUACGUG